rnacentral:lncRNA from 1 species
AUCCAGGCCAGUUUUGCUUCAAAGCUGCAAUUCGGCAGUGCUCUAACCAGUGUCCUGCUGUAUAGAAUGACAAAGCACCAGACUGAUAUCCCUGAUGGAAGUAAUCAAGAAUGAUGAAUGUUCUGUCUGUGUCAGUGAUAGCCAAGGCAAGGUUUGUGUUUGCAAACAUAGAAGUCUUCACCAUAAUCCAGUGACUUGUGGACUCCAGAAGAGGAAAGUCCUGUGUAUCUGUAACUCCACUUCAUACCUAUAUGUCUCAGACAUCCGUUCUGUUUUCCAUCAAUUCCUCUCUCACCACCACUACAUAAAAAUCUCGUUAAAGAUGAACUUGCUUUGCUUAAUCUUCUGAUCCAUCUGCACCUUUCUGACUUUGUGCUGCAGCAAUGGCUUUUGUUAUAUGGCAGACUUGUGGCAAGAGAAAACUGCCAUUUUCAGGCAGUCUGUUGUGUAUUGAACUACGUGUACAGUCUUGUAUUCGUUGAAGAAAUAUAAUCCUUUUCAUACACUGAACAAUAGAUAAAUGUGCAUAACCUCAUUGCUUCUGUUUCAAAUUGAGUUCUAUUUUCCUUCUCCUGGAUAUGUUGUUUUCUUUCUUUCCACUUAUUUUUAGUAAUCAAUAAAGCCUGCCCUGAUACCA